AAAAGUCGUAACAAGGUUUCCGUAGGUGAACCUGCGGAAGGAUCAUUAUCGUACANCANAGGCGGGCUGUCGGCUGACUUAUUGGGUCGUGCACGCCCGUGUGCUCUCUCUCCAUCUCACCCUUGUGCACCACCGCGUGGGUCCUGGGAGAGGCCUACGUUUUUAAUCAACUUUUUUAGUAUAGAAUGUCGUUUGCUCACACGCAAUCAAUACAACUUUCAACAACGGAUCUCUUGGCUCUCGCAUCGAUGAAGAACGCAGCGAAAUGCGAUACGUAAUGUGAAUUGCAGAAUUCAGUGAAUCAUCGAAUCUUUGAACGCACCUUGCGCCCCUUGGCAUUCCGAGGGGCACACCCGUUUGAGUGUCGUGAAAUCCUCAAAACCCUUUCUUUUCGGGGGAAAGGAUUUUGGACUUGGAGGGUCACUGCUGGCUUUGAAAAGUGAGCUCCUCCUAAAGGAAUUAGUGGGGUUUGCUUUGUCGAUCCUUGACGUGAUAAGAUUUCUACGUUUUGGAUCCGUAGCCUGCUUCCAACCGUCAGAAAACCUUGACCUCAAAUCGGGUGAGACUACCCGCUGAACUUAAGCAUAUCAAUAAGCGGAGGAAAAGAAACUAACAAGGAUUCCCCUAGUAACUGCGAGUGAAGCGGGAAAAGCUCAAAUUUAAA
rnacentral:sRNA from 1 species